rnacentral:tRNA from 1 species
AAUAGUGUAGUUUAAUUAAAAUUUUAUCUUGCAAAGAUAAAGUUGCUUACAGGGCGACUAUUU